GCUCUCGUAGUGAAAUGGAUAUCACGACAGGCUUCGAACCUGUUAUUCUAGGUUCAAAUCCUAGCGAGAGCA
rnacentral:tRNA from 1 species